GGAAGGGUGCCGGAGUGGCCCAUCGGGUACGCCUGGAAAGCGUAUGAGCCUUAUAGCUCACAGGGGUUCAAAUCCCCUCCCUUCCG
rnacentral:tRNA from 1 species